AUUGAACGCUGGCGGCAGGCCUAACACAUGCAAGUCGAGCGAGCGGCGGACGGGUGAGUAAUGUGUGGGGACUGCCCGAUAGAGGGGGAUAACUACUGGAAACGGUGGCUAAUACCGCAUACUAUCGGAUAACCCAUAUGGGAUUAGCUGGUAGGUGGGGUAAAGGCUCACCUAGGCGACGAUCUCUAGCUGGUCUGAGAGGAUGAUCAGCCACAAUGGGACGGAGAUACGGCCCAGACUGCUACGGGGGGAGCAGUGGGGGAAAUGGCACAAGGGGCGAAAGGCUGAUGCAGCGGCGCCGCGUGGGGGAUGAGGGCUUUAGGGUUGUAAACCUCUUUCGCUAGCGAAUGGGUAGGUGGAGAAGAAGCGCCGGCUAACUACGUGCCAGCAGCCGCGGUAAUAC
rnacentral:rRNA from 1 species